AGUCGUAACAAGGUAUCCGUAGGUGAACCUGCGGAUGGAUCAUUAUAGGGUGUUGGGUAAUUGUGAGUGGUUUUAUUAUUAGUAGUUUGAGCGGUGUUGGUUGGGAUGCGAAGCAGGAUUGCCAAGCAGGAUUGCCAAGCAGGAUUGCCAAGCAAGACAGCCAACAUUGCCUCACGUUAAACUCUAUAAAUCUAACAAUUACAUACAAAAAAAAACAACUUUUAGCAACGGAUCUCUUGGCUCUC
rnacentral:misc_RNA from 1 species